CAUCCGCUCCCUUUAACUAGAAGCUGCGUCAUACACACGGAGCAUUUGGGAGACCACGAUGUCGUCUUCCUUCUGUCAGGAGGAUCCAAGUGAAGCUACAGGAGUAUGAUGAAGAGCAAGAAGGGCAGCCUGGAGAGAAAGAGGAGCCGGGUUGAGCCCACUACUCUCAUCCACGUACCACGAGGAAGAUGAGGGAGAGAAAUUAUCCUACCAUUAAAGAGACUGUGCAAAGAAUGUUGAGAACAUCACCACUCUACAGGAAUACACAGUCCAGUAAUGUGUGUCAGAAGUUCAGUAGUGAACGACAGGUACUGUGGAAAAAUGUGUGUCAUUGUUGUACAAUGUCCUUUGACUCUGUUUACACAAGGUCAACACAAAAAGGUUUGAUUGUAAACUGAUAUUGGUAUGAAUUCAUGUUAUACUCCUCUUCACAAGAAACAAACAAUUUACAAAAAAAAAACACUAGAAUUACCGCACUGCGUUGUAUGACUCCGCUAACCAGUGCAGUGUCCGUCUACAUAUUUCUACAUAUUUUCUCUCAUAUAAAUGUCACUGUAACCUCUUGACAACUGAAACCAUAACAUGAGGUCAGUGUGGCCUUGACCUUUUGACUUUAAGACAAAUACACAGUUAGACAACCCGAAAACAUGCAGUAAUGCCUCCGGCGACUCGCUAUUACAGAGGCAUUAAAAUGUUAAGUGUAGUAGACUGGAUUUUAUUGGUGUUACAUUGGACAUCUUGUAUUGGUACACAAAAAAUAUAUUUGGUUUCACAUUUUAGAUGGCAUAAGCAGAGACAUCAACUCAGGAAAUGGAUUUCUGCAGAAAAUUAAGCCUUGUAUGUGUGUAUAUAUGGGACAUGAGGGCCUUGUCUGCGUGCCCAAGAGAAGAUUCCACAGAGUUCAAGCUGAGCAGGCUGCAGCAGGUUUGGAGGAAUCCUCCUCUGAAGAGGAAACAUGGCGAGGUUCUUCUCCACUGAUGAAGAAAUAUCUUCUCAAGAGAAGCUGCCUCAGCUCCACGGUCCCUCCUGCAGCCUCCACUCCUGAUGCUAACCCCCGGUCUCCAUCACACCAUCCGGGCAGACCUGGAGUCACAGAACUUUGUCCAGAGCUGCCGUCUGAGAAUUGUUGAUCAUAUAAUUUUCAGCAGAUGCCUUAAUGUAAUGUUUGUGCACAAUAAAUGACAUUGAUCAUAA